rnacentral:misc_RNA from 1 species
UAAAAGCAAAUGCCAAUCACAACAAAACAAUGAAAAAAAGCUAAAAAAAAUCUCACAAUUACAAUCCAUUUGAAGAUGUUUGAUCUAUCAGGACGACAUGAGGGCCAAUAAAACCCAGAAGCUGCUUUCUUCAACAUCUCCUUAUGAACCUCUAAAUCUGUAUGCAAUACUAUCCCAAAAGCAACAUUACAAAUGUGAUCUCUAGUUUCCUUGAACGUAAUUGCAUAUUCACAAGAGAAACUCGAAGCUCUCCAAGUCAUGCACUCUGAUGACUAUUUAAACUCCAGAAGAAUAUGACCUUGUUUUUUCUUUUUACACAAGCUAAAUACCAGAAAAUUUUUCACUUUAAAAUGUCAUAUACCAUUUCCAUAGGCAUAAGCUGAAGAAUUUGCCCAAGCAACUGCACCAACUUUCACGUUAAGAAUAGGGGACAAAUGUGCCUAUGUAACCAAACCCCAUGAUGAAGAAGGCUAUUGCUUGCACAUACAGGUAUAAGAAGUAGUGGUUCUUCCCAAAAGCUAAAUCGUAGCAGCCGCAGAAGAAUAGGUAUGCUCCAGUUCCAAGCUCUAACAGGUGGAGCCUUUCUCCGAAUUUAAAUCUGGGUUUCUUGGGUGCUUUGACAGCUUUUGCUUUAAGAGCAUCUCCUAGUUUCUCAGUGACAAUCCAUUCAUUAACUCUGCCAGACUCUAGCAAGCCAACGAAGGUAGCCUUAGUCCUGUGUAGUGACAUAACAUUUUCAAAAAGGAUCCAGAACACCAACAGGUGGAGUGACCUUGGAGUUCCAACUGCAUUGAGAAUUGUAAUGAUAGAAGGAAUAUAUACAGCUCCCCACUUUGGAACUUCAACUUCAGGUACUAAAACAGUUGCAGGCAAUACGACACAGUAGAAGAUGAAUGUAACGAUGUGAGCAACGAUCUUCCUCACCAAGAAGAAGCUGUAGAUAACAUGCACCUUCUUCCACAAGGUCACUUUCUGUAUUUCAAAAAAAUUUAAAGUCAGUUAACAUGUAGUACUUGAUUCAGAGCCCUGCCAUUACAGCCAACACAAAUAAAAUGAUAGAAUGUGGAGAACAAGGUAAUCAAAUUUCAAGGUCAACAACCCCAUAAAGAAAAUUUAUAUUUUAGUGAAUGAGUUUCGAUUCAAUAGCAUUAAAGUCAUCUCAAAAUUACAAGGCCUCGAAUUCGAACCCAAUCGAAACUCGACGAAUUACUUUUACCUUAUUUCUUAUGAUCUCCAUAAACAUUUUCCUGAAGAGGUUAGCAGGACCACAAGACCACCGAUGCUGCUGAUAGCGGUAAGCCUUCAAUGUACUAGGCAGCUCAUUUUUCACCUGAACAAAUAUUCAGAUACAGGACAUAUAUAAUUAAAUGAACACUGUCAUUAAACAAUUAACUCUGAUUGAGACUUCACAGCUCUAAAAAUGAUUCUAAUAACAUUGAGAUAUUGAGCAUUUUUUAAAAUAAUAAACAGAGAAUAUGCUCAUUAUUUUAGUUGAAAUGCUGGGCUAAAAGCACAUGAGCUUUGUCAGAUUUUGUAGCGUAUUUUAUUUGCUUAAUUUUGUUGACUAAUUAGGAUUACCCUUCAAAGAUAAACACAAAUUAGUUACGUUAAAACAGCUAGAUUGUAAUUAAUGCUUUAAUCAACUCAACAGUUUUCAAUUAGUCUCUAAACAAGAAAAACAAUUGCAAUAAUUACCAUAAGAUUGCCAAGGUACAAGAAUUUCCAGCCUUUGAGACUAGCUCGAACGGCAAGAUCCAUGUCUUCCACUGUGGUCCUAUCCUUCCAGCCACCAGCUUCAUUAAGUGCACCAAUUCUCCAAACCCCAGCCGUCCCAUUGAAGCCAAAGAAGGCAUAUGUAGAGGAGCCCACUUCUUGUUCAACAGUGAAAUGGUAAUCCAAAGACAUUUCUUGCAUUCUAGUCAUCAAGCACUCAUCAGAAUUCACGAAUUUCCAACGAGCCUGAACCAAAGCCAAUUCUGGAUUGUGAACGAGGAAAGGAAUGGUCCGCCAUAGAAAAUCAGGCUCUGGCUGGAAAUCUGCGUCGAAGAUGGCUACGUAGUCGCAAUUUUUCACGUAGUUUUUCUUCAUUCCUUCUUUUAAUGCCCCAGCUUUAUAGCCGUUUCUGUUGUCUCUAAUCUCGUAUUUAAUAUUUACACCUUUGCUUGCCCACCUUUGGCAGUCUAGCUCCACCAAGUCCUUGAUGGUUGGGUCUGUUGAAUCGUCGAGGACUUGAAUUAUGAUUCGAUCAGAAGGCCAAGAGAGUCCACAUGCAGCUCCAAUGGAAAGCUGGUAAACCUCUCGUUCGUUGUACAUUGGGAUUUGAACCAGAACCAUAGGAUAUCCAUAGUUACCCAUCUCAACAUCAUCUUUUAUGGGUUCCCAUUUGUAGCGUUUCUCUGGUCUUCGACCAAAAAGCUUCACUAGUAUAAUUACAAUGCCCAUAUACGCCCUUUCGAUGAAGAGCAUCAAGGACAUGAUCAAGCAGAUGGCAACUGCAAGUCUUAGCAGAGGAACAAUUAAUGGCGCUCUGAUCUGAUCCCAAACUAUUGAAAACUGCAUGGAUACGUCAUCUCUAGCACCUUGAAACGCAUCUGGAAUGAUUGUUGCUGUCGUUAACCGAUCCAUUUGUGGACAGCUAGCUUAUUCUGUUAUAGUAGGAGAAAGAUAGAGCACAAGCAGAGGAGGAAAGAAAAAGGAAAAGGGAAGCUAGAAACAGAAGUAUAAGAUAAUUGUUUAUAGAUUUCAAAAGAAACCCAUGAGAUCUGAAUAUGAUUUAAAGGACUUUCUUUGACACAAGAGCAAGAAUAUUUCUUUUUUUCUUCUGGUAUACGCAAGGCAAUGGACGCAGAGCUGGAAUGUCAGGGACUGCCUAAAAAAAAUCCACUGUUUUGAAGAAGCAGACAAAAGAAAGAGGAAGAAGAAGAAGAAAUUGAUUUAUCGGAACGAGAAAAGAAACAAGAAAGAAGCAAGAAUAUUAACAGAUCACAGGUAGCUCUGAUGAAUGAAGAAUUAACAAAUCACAGAUAACAAGAAUUAAGCAGAGUAAUUGAAAGAAUUAAGAAUGAAUCUCUAUUAGGAUACUAUAUGUAUAUAUACAAAAUGAGUUUCUGCUUCUACAAGCUUCCCACGCAACUACCGCAUAAUCGAAUUUUCAGGUCAUCAUCAAUCAGAUUACAGCUACUCUAACAAUUCCAGCUAAGCUAACAAAUUCAUAACAAUUCAUAGCAGAAAUAUAAACUAAAUAACUUCUCUUCGUGGCAACUCGCUUGCCUCUUCUCAAUCUUGUUAUCCGCACCAUUUCAUUAGCCUACCCAUCGAUCCGCACCGUAUAAAUAAUCCAACAAUGAGGGAGAAAGGGAGAAUUGUCAUAGGAAUGGCUUGGCUGCCAGCAUAUCAUACACAUUCCUUUCCUACUUAUCAUAUCUCUCUCUUCCUGCAAUCAACAAACUAACUCCUUCUACAUGGACAAAAUUCCCGUUUCCUUCACUCAUAGGCUGACUCUAUUCUUGGCCAAAAGCUCACUUUAGCUCUUGAACUAUAGGGCGGGGUGAAAUUUCACCACUAUACUCUAAUUGGGUUAAAUCAAAUCCUUAUAAAAUGACUAAUUGAGCAAUUAACCAAAUUGUUAAUGAUGCACGCUACAUGCGCCAUUUAGAAAGGUGAAAAUUGUGAGGCCAAGGUUCAGUUGUUGGGGGAAAAAACAGUAUGCAUAUCAACAGUUAGGGAGCGUGCUCUUGUCCGAAAAUACUGGGUUUGCAUAUUGACAAACAGUUGGAAUGCAUGCAAUGACAGCCCUAAGGAAAUGGUUGGUUAGCCAAACGUGUUUUGCAUCUUUCUCAUUUUUCUUUCCCUCUCGUGGACAGUGGGCUGGAAUUAGAAGGUUUAUAUAAAAGAUGCAAUCAACCACAAAAAACCAUUAUGGAAAUAUCAUGCACUGUAUAAAUACCACAUCCCUAGGCUAGCUGUUGUUUCAUGCCCAGCUUUACCUCCAAACCAAGAAACACUUGCUCCCUCCAACAUUAUACGUUCUCUAGCAACCGAUUAAUCGUCCUAGCCUCUUGUUGCAGCUAGUGCACCGAUUCUUUGGGCUUUCUGAAGCAGGUUCAUCACUUGAAUCCACAAUAGUUUCAGCAGCCAAUGAAAGCAGGGCUAUGGAGGAAGUGCUGCUUUUAUUUAUUUACUAUUUUUGAUAAGCAAAAAGAAAAUUUUAUUAAUGGAAAAGGAAGGGAAACAAAGGGCAAGAGAGGGCUUCAAACUAAGACCUUUCCUAUAGGCAAUCCCUCGUGCACCCAAACCUAAGGCAGCUACAACCUCUAGAUACGCAAUGAAUAAAUGAAAAAUCGACAAGCUAUAACAUUCAAACAACAACUCCGAGCAUCAGUACAUAUUUCUAAAAUUUUCUCCAUCUUUAGCAAUUUGUCCAACUAAAUACUUAAUAAUGAUGGU